rnacentral:rRNA from 1 species
GGGCCCGCACAAGCGGAGGAACAUGUGGUUUAAUUCGAUGAUACGCGAGGAACCUUACCCGGGCUCGAACGGCUAUAGAAUAACGAUGAAAGUUGUUAGCCAGCAAUGGCUGUAGUCGAGGUGCUGCAUGGUUGUCGUCAGCUCGUGCCGUGAGGUGUCGGCUUAAGUGCCAUAACGAGCGCAACCCUACCGGUAGUUACCAGCAGGUAAAGCUGGGGACUCUGCCGGGACUGCCACCGCAAGGUGCGAGGAAGGUGGGGAUGACGUCAAAUCAGCACGGCCCUUACGUCCCGGGGCGACACACGUGUUACAAUGGGGGGGACAAAGGGCAGCUACCCGGCGACGGGAUGCCAAUCUCCAAACCCUCUCCCAGUUCGGACUGGAGUCUGCAACCCGACUCCACGAAGCUGGAUUCGCUAGUAAUCGCGCAUCAGCCAUGGCGCGGUGAAUACG